UUUUCUUUCUCUGACCCUCUUGCACCUCCUCUUCUCCGUCUCUCCCUCUCUCUGCCUCCUGAGACAGAAACUGGAGGAGAUAAUGGAGGAUGGAGGAUCACAGAAGACCCGCAUCAAUUUAGAGCUUAGACCCGGUGAUGAUGAACAUGCUCACAUACUCUGGGUGAUUCGGUCUGAGUGAGUCACUUCUCUCUCUCUCCAGUGAAAUGACAGACAGCAGACAUGCACAUUAAGAAAACAGGUAAUCAGUGUUCAUUCAACCUGCAUAUCUUCAAACUUUAUUUUGUGAACAAAUGAGAUACCAGAGCACUUGAACAUUUCUUCAGUACAACUCUAAAACUAAUCAGAAAACUUCCCGAACAAUAGUCACAUAUUUCUGCGGUUAUGAAAUUCACAGACAGGAAAAG